GUGAUCCCAACUCAACGACAGUGAUCCGAGGCUGGCUCUACAAACAGGAUAGCUCUGGACUUAAACUGUGGAAGAGAAGAUGGUUUGUGCUGUCGGAUUUCUGUUUGUUUUAUUACAGAGACAGUCGGGAAGAGAGAAUCCUGGGCAGUAUUCCGAUGCCAAGUUAUAUCGUCUCUGUUGUUGGACCACAGGAUCGGAUAACACGGAAAUUCACUUUCAAGGCAGAACACCCAGGAAUGAGAACUUAUUACUUCAGUGCUGACACCCAGGAGGAUAUGAAUGGCUGGAUCCGAGCUCUGAGCCAAUCAGCACGUG